GCUUUGGUGGUGUAGUGGUUAGAGUGUUCGCCUCGGAUAUGGGAGGUCGUGGGUUCAAUCCCCUGCCGAGUCA